rnacentral:rRNA from 1 species
CCUACGGGUGGCUGCAGUGGGGAAUAUUGGACAAUGGGCGAAAGCCUGAUCCAGCCAUGCCGCGUGUGUGAAGAAGGCCUUCGGGUCGUAAAGCACUUUCAGUGGGGAAGAAAGCCUUGGGGCUAAUACCCUCGAGGAAGGACAUCACCCACAGAAGAAGCACCGGCUAACUCCGUGCCAGCAGCCGCGGUAAUACGGAGGGUGCGAGCGUUAAUCGGAAUUACUGGGCGUAAAGCGCGCGUAGGCGGUCUGAUAAGCCGGUUGUGAAAGCCCCGGGCUCAACCUGGGAACGGCAUCCGGAACUGUCAGGCUAGAGUGCAGGAGAGGAAGGUAGAAUUCCCGGUGUAGCGGUGAAAUGCGUAGAGAUCGGGAGGAAUACCAGUGGCGAAGGCGGCCUUCUGGACUGACACUGACGCUGAGGUGCGAAAGCGUGGGUAGCAAACAGGAUUAGAUACCCUAGUAGUC